rnacentral:rRNA from 1 species
AUACGGAGGAUCCAAGCGUUAUCCGGAUUUAUUGGGUUUAAAGGGUGCGUAGGCGGCCUUUUAAGUCAGCGGUGAAAGUCUGUGGCUCAACCCUAGAAUUGCCGUUGAAACUGGGGGGCUUGAGUAUGUUUGAGGCAGGCGGAAUGCGUGGUGUAGCGGUGGAAUGCAUAGAUAUCACGCAGAACCCCGAUUGCAAAGGGAGCCUGCCAAGCCAUGACUGACGCUGAUGCACGAAAGCGUGGGGAUCAAACAGGAUUAGAUACCCUGGUAGUCCACGCAGUAAACGAUGAUCACUAGCUGUUUGCGAUACACUGUAAGCGGCACAGCGAAAGCGUUAAGUGAUCCACCUGGGGAGUACGCCGGCAACGGUGAAACUCAAAUGAAUUGACGGGG